UACGUAGGGUCCGAGCGUUGUCCGGAAUUAUUGGGCGUAAAGGGCUCGUAGGCGGUUUGUCGCGUCGGGAGUGAAAUCCACUGGCUUAACUGGUGGCUUGCUUUCGAUACGGGCAGACUGGAGGUAUGCAGGGGAGAACGGAAUUCCUGGCGUAGCGGUGAAAUGCGCAGAUAUCAGGAGGAACACCGGUGGCGAAGGCGGUUCUCUGGGCAUGUCCUGACGCUGAGGAGCGAAAGUGUGGGGAGCGAACAGG
rnacentral:rRNA from 1 species